GGCAUUUAAUGGGGUAUUUGAGGCUUAUGUGUCAAAUUUUCAGCCCUCCACCUUAGAUGUACAUAUAGAUCUAAAAAAACAUUAUGUCGUCCAAUUAGUUCUCUCCAUAUAUGGCACUUCUUCAUAUCAGCAAUUUUUUGCCCUAAAUUUUUUAACAAAAACAUAUUCUUUUAAAAAUUUUAACAUCACAUUUUUAUUUUUUUAAAAAAUUUCAUUUCUAUAC
rnacentral:lncRNA from 1 species